CUUGAGGCUCAACUUCAAAUCAGCGAUGGAAACUGCUAGACUAGAGUGUGGUAGAGGUAAGAGGAAUUUCCAGUGGAGCGGUGAAAUGCGUAGAUAUUGGAAAGAACACCGAUGGCGAAGGCAUCUUACUGGGCCAUAACUGACACUCAGAGACGAAAGCUAGGGUAGCAAAUGGGAUUAGAUACCCCAGUAGUCCUAGCAGUAAACGAUGGAUACUAGAUGUUGCCCGUAUCAACCCGUGCAGUGUCAAAGCUAACGCGUUAAGUAUCCCGCCUGGGAAGUAUGCACGCAAGUGUGAAACUCAAAGGAAUUGACGGGGGCCCGCACAAGCGGUGGAGCAUGUGGUUUAAUUUGAUGCAACGCGAAGAACCUUACCAGGGUUUGACAUGACAUGAAUUUUUCUGAGAAGAAAAAGUGCCUUUUAGGAACAUGUACACAGGUGGUGCAUGGCUGUCGUCAGCUCGUGUCGUGAGAUGUUGGGUUAAGUCCCGCAACGAGCGCAACCCUUGUUUUUAGUUAUUUUUCUAGAAAGACUGCCGGUUAUAAGCCGGAGGAAGGCGGGGACGACGUCAAGUCAGCAUGCCCCUUAUACCCUGGGCUACACACGUGCUACAUUGGGUAAGACAAUGAGUCGCGAGCCUGUGAAGGUCAGCAAAUCUAUAAACUUACUCUAAGUUCGGAUUGUAGGCUGUAACUCGCCUACAUGAAGUUGGAAUCGCUAGUAAUCGCUGGUCAGCCAUACAGCGGUGAAUCCGUUCCCGGGCCUUGUACACACCGCCCGUCACACCAUGGGAGCUGGUUAUACCCGAAGUCGUUACUCUAACCGUUUGGAGGGGGGCGCCUAAGGUAGGGAUAGUGACUGGGGUGAAGUCGUAACAAGGUAGCCGUA
rnacentral:rRNA from 1 species